AUCUCAGCCCAGGAGCCCAGCGAGGGUGACUGAGCGAGCCGGCCCGGCCCUGGGGCGCGGCGGAGACCACAGGCCCGCUUUGUGGCAGCGCUGGGGUCCAGGAGUCCUGAGUGUGCCCACCCUGGCCCUACCCUCUGUUCCAGUUGGUGUAUCUGGAGCAAUUUCCGCCUUCACCCCACUCAUCUUUAUUGAACAUCUGCCUGUGCUCUGAAGAGCGCGUUUGGGGGCAGGGCCAGCAGACACUGGCCUCUGUGCUCAUGGAGCCCACGGCCCAGCCCAGGACAGAGAUGCUAAGCAGAAAGGGCCGCACCCACAGAGGUUCCCAGGCUAGACCUCUAAUCGGAGCUACAGCUGCUGGCCUACCCCACAGCCACAGCAACGAGAGAUCCGAGCUGCGUCUGCGACCUACACCACAGCUCCACGGUAACGCCGGAUCCUUAACCCACUGAGCAAGGCCGGGGAUCGAACCUGCAUCCUCAUGGAUGGUAGUCAGAUUCGUUAACUGCUGAGCCACGAAGGGAACUCUGACAUAGUUUUAAAGGCGUCGGAUCGGCUUGGAUGAAGAGACAAAUGUGAAGCAGGUCAAGAACACGGGCCCUGGAGGUCCCGUCGAGGCGCCGCGGAAACAGGCCGACUAGGAACCAGGAGGCUGCGCUUAACCUGCUGCACCACCAGGGAGGUCCUUUUAUUUCUCCGGAUCAGGUGGAUCUGUUAUGUUUCCUAGUCUGGGAGAAGCGGUUUUUGUAGCAGACCCCCCAUGCGACGCAGCAGCACCCUCCCUCUGGUCACCAGAGCUGUAUGCUCCAGCGUGCCCUCUGUGUGGGCUGCCAGGGUCCUUCUGCGCUGCCAGGGCCUGCCACUGUGGGCGCGCGGGUAGCGGGCUGGCCCCUGGCCGGUUGGGCUUUUGCAGACCUGGAUCACGCAGAGGGUCGCCCCCUGGGCGGGGUCUUGACUCUGGUCUCCGCCCCUCCUGCCCAUCUGGUGUGGCUCCCUCUUCCUCACUUUCGCUUUCGUUGGGAAGAGCCUUUCUGCUGCUCAUUCCCUGUAAAUAGCUGCAAUGUUGGUCCCUGUGGGAGGAGGUGGGCUCAGGGUCCCCCUGCUCCACCCCCUUGGCCUACACAUAACAAUGUGGCCUUGGCCAGGAAUUAGUCGCCAGACCACCUGGCUCUCUGGACCAGGGUCUGGAAAAUGCAGUCUUUAUUGGGUGGGUUUAUAUGCCAGCUAAACAUGGGGGGGGGGCCUUUUCUGAGGAACAAAUGGAAGAUGGGCAGGGGGGCGUGCUCCCCAUUCUGACGGUGUCCCCAGUCGUCUUCUCUGCUGCCAGCCAAGACUGUUUUUCUUGCAAAUGUCCCUUGUCACCUGCUUCAUAAUAAAUAGCUCUCUGUGAGGCUAUUCCCACCUGCACAGUAA
rnacentral:lncRNA from 1 species